UACGAAGGGGGGCUAGCGUUGCUCGGAAUCACUGGGCGUAAAGGGUGCGUAGGCGGGUCUUUUAAGUCAGGGGUGAAAUCCUGGAGCUCAACUCCAGAACUGCCUUUGAUACUGAAGAUCUUGAGUAUGGGAGAGGUGAGUGGAACUGCGGAGUGUAGAGGUGAAAUUCGUAGAUAUUCGCAAGAACACCAGUGGCGAAGGCGGCUCACUGGCCCAUUACUGACGCUGAGGCACGAAAGCGUGGGGAGCAAACAGG
rnacentral:rRNA from 1 species